UGAGUUUUUGUAAUAAAUAAGGAUGCAUGCCAUGAUUUAUUCAUAAAAUAGAUAAUCAAAACAAAAGGCAAAAAUAGUUGUACUACAUAUAAUAUGUUUCAGUGUAUACAUUAAAUGUGUCAGAGAGUGUAUGUGUGUGUGUGUGUCUGAUAUACUGGAUAAAGAAGAAGAAAAUAGAGAGUGCAGAGAAGGGUAGGAGGGCGGAGGGGCACAACGGCAUUUGGCGACACAAGCCCCUACAGCCUGCUAACCUCUGCCAGGGCAACUUCUAAAUUGUUAUUGGGAAGCAUGGCCUUGAUUCAACAAGUUUUAUAUUCUUUCCAUGCAGGGUUCUCAUCAGAAAAAUUAUCUACAAAGGAUAGGAACUCCCUAUCUGCACAUGAUUGUUAAACAUUGCUGCAACUCCUUAAUCGUUCACACAUUAUCUGCAAUAAUAUAUCUUUACAACAGUGUUAAACUCAACGAAUAAUGAAAAUACACACAACAAUAUAUCAGUCUUAUAAUAUAUGCUAUUUCAUAAAUCAUUUUAACCGACAAACACUCUGAGUGCCUAUUGGUUUAUUGUUUGGAUAAAUAUAAUUUAAUACCUAUUGGGAUGAUUUGCAUACAGAAAUGAUUUUGUUGCCCAGCUUGAAAUGUUUGUCAUUAGAUGAGAUGCAGGGAGGUUUAGGAAGGAGAAAUGGAUUUAUGGUUAUAGCAUUGACAUUAGGAUCGGAAACAUGUUUAUAUGUAACUAGUUAUAGCAUUGACAUUAGGAUCGGAAACAUGUGGAUAUGUAACAGGAGACUAUGAAAGAGAGAGCAUGCAAUGCAAUAAGAGGGGAUGACUAAGUUUAGUUUGCAAGUUAAAGACUUUGAUUUUGAGGGUGGGUUGUGGAAGAUGGAGAUACAAGUCAAACAAAUAAUUUAAUCUAGACGAUACAAAUUAAAUAUCAUAGAUGGAUCUAUAUAACUAGUAGAUUUUUUAAAAAAAAAAGAUUUAACCAAAAUGUUUAUUAUAUUGUUCUUUAAGAACAUAAAUUUAUAUUUUUUUAAUUCCAAAAUUUAGGACAUAGUGCUAAUGAAAUGAUUUAGUGGCAGAUUAUAGCCAUGGUCAUAGGUGAUACAAAGUUUUUCUUAAAUAGAACUUCCUUUUGUAUAUCAUUUUAUUCGCACUAUGUCCAAAUAAAUCUUACUAAAUCAUGGAAUUGAAAAAUAUAAUAUAAGCCUUUAAGAAAAUAUAUAAUUAACAUCUUGGUCACAAUUUUUUGUCAUUUGCUAAUUAAAUAACUACAUCUAUGAAAUUCAAUUUGUAUCAUGUAGAACCAAAUAUUUGUUUCACUUAGUCAUAUUCCACAACCACCUUCAAAGUCUUUAAAUUGCACCUAAACUUAGUCAUCCCCCGCGGUGCAAGCCCUAUCUUUCAUGGUUGGUGUCCUGCUACAUGUACACAUCUUUCCAAUGUCGUAACACUAUAAAAAUAAAUCCAUUUUCUACCUGCUAAACUUUCUCAACUUCUCUGCAUCUCAUCCAUGGGGAGAGGCAACAAAUUCACUUUUCUAGACAAUCAUCACAACCAAUGGGUAGGGUAAUAACACUAUACACACAGUGUGCAUGUAUGUCUAUGCAUAUCUGCUAGAUUUGAUGGGAUUUAAUUUUGUCAUCUACUAAUUAAAUAGCUACAUCCAUGAAAUAAUUCAGAGUGCUUAUUGGCUUAUUUUAUGGGUAUAAUAUUGUUUGGUACCUCUAGUGUUGAUGAUUUGCAUACAGAAGUGAUUUUAUUGCCUAGUUUGAAAUGUUUGUCACCAGAUGUCGAUAGAUGAGAUGCUCGGAAGGUUUAGGAAGGAGAAGUGGACUUACAGUUUUAGGGUUGGGACUGAAUCGGGAAGAUGUUUAUAUGUAAUAUAAGACUAUGAAACAGAGAGCAUGCAAUGCAAUAAGAGGGGAUGACUAAGUUUCGUUUGCAAGUUAAAGACUUUGACUUUGAGGACGGGGUGUGGAAGAUGGAGAUAUAAAACAAACAAAUAUUUAAUUCUUGAAGAUACAAAUCAAAUAUCCUAGAUGGAUCUAUAUAAUUAGCUGAUUACAAAAAAAAUGUUAAUUAUAAUUUUCUUUAAAAACAUAAAUUCAUAUUUUUUUUAAUUCCAAAAUUUAGUAGGACAUAGUGCUAAUGAAAAUGAUUUAGUGGCAGAUUAUACCCAUGAUCAUAUGUGAUACAAAGUUUAUCUUAAAUAGAACUUUCUUUUGUAUAUCAUUUUAUUCGCACUAUGUCCAAAUAAGUCUUACUAAAUAUUGGAAUUGAAAAAUAUAAUAUAAGAUUUUAAGAAAAUAUAUAAUUAACAUCUUGGUUACAAUUUUUUGGCAUCUGCUGAUUAAAUAACUACAUCUAUGAAAUUCAAUUUGUAUCAUCUAAAACCAAAUAUUUGUUUCACUUAUUUCUCUUUCAUCUUCCACAACCACCUUCAAAGUCUUUAAAUUGCACCGAAACUUAGUCAUCCCCCGCGGUGCAAGCCCUAUCUUUCAUAGUUAUUGUCCUGCUACAUGUACACAUCUUUCCAAUGUCGUAACACUAUAAAAAUAAAUCCAUUUUCUACCUACUAAACUUUCUCACCUUCUCUGCAUCUCAUACAUGGGGAGGCUAGGCAACAACUUCACUUUCCUAGACAAACAUCACAACUAGGGGUGUGCAUUCGGUUCGGUUAACCGAAAACCGAACCGAAAAAUCGAAAUAAUUUCGGUUCGGUUAACCGAAUUUUAAAAUUCGGUUCGGUGUAUGGUAGCCAAAUUUUGAUUUUUCGGUUUUUCGGUUUUGAAAUCUCGGUUAACCGAAAACCGAAUAGUUAACUGAUUAUUUAUACACUUUAUAAAAAAAAUAGUAUUUUUAAUUAAUAAUAUAAAUAUUCUUGUAAGUUAUAAGCGUGAUAAGUUACUGUAAUUUUCUCGGUAACUCAUUUUUAGGAUUUAUAUAUAUUAGAGAGAUUAUUAAUACAUAGCCCAUUAGAUUAUAUGCAGGAAAGGGGUUCCGGUAGAUUUACAUAAAAAUAGCUAUUUUAAAUCAACUUACACUGUUGAUUUCUUUCACAAGAAUUUACAUAGUAUUAGUUGAUGUUUGAUGUGCUUAAUAUUUUUUUAAUGUCUGUUUAUGAAACCAUGAUUGCUUGGAAAUUGAGAGAACAGAACAUAUCACUGGAUACUUCCUAUCAAUGAUCAUUUUUAUAUAUGUCUCGGCAUUAAUUUCAAUGAAAUAAACGCCUAUUUGCAUUAUUAGUUCUGUUUUGUUCUUUCAGACUGUGUAUAUAUAAAUUCUUGUGAUCAGAGUGCUUAAAUAAAAUUCAUUUACUAUAAUUAUCUACUAUGGCAAUGCAUCAACAUUAGCAACCAACUGUUCAUGGUUUUAACUUUUUAGAUUAUUUUAGAAAAUUUCGGUUAAUAAUUUCUGUUUUCGGUACUAACCGAAAUUUAAAAUUCGCUUCGGUUAUAGAACCGAAAUUAAUUCUGUUCAGUAUUCGGUAGAGGUUUUUGUUGAAUUUCGGUUUCGGUUAACCGAAUGCACACCCCUAAUCACAACCAAUGGGUAAGGUAAUAAACUAUACAUACAGUGUGCAUGUAUGGCUAUGCAUAUCCGCUACAUUUGUUGGGAUAUAAUUUUGUCAUCUACUAAUUAAAUAGCUACAUCCAUGAAAUGAUUCAGAGUGCUUAAUUGCUUAUUUUAUGGGUAUAAUAUAGUUUGGUACCUCUAGUGUUGAGGAUUUGCAUACAGAAGUGAUUUUAUUGCCUAGUUUGAAAUGUCUGUCACUAGAUGUCGAUAGAUGAGAUACUCAGAAGGUUUAGGAAAGUGGACUUACAGUUUUAGGUUUGGGACUGAAACGGGAAGAUGUUAAUAUGUAAUAUAAGACUAUGAAAGAGAGAGCAUGCAAUGCAAUAAGAGGGGAUGACUAUGUUUCGUUUGCAAGUUAAAGACUUUGACUUUGAGGACGGGGUGUGGAAAAUGGAGAUAUAAAACAAACAAAUAUUUAAUUAUUGAAUAUACAAAUCAAAUAUCUUAGAUGGAUCUAUAUAAUUAGCAGAUUACAAAAAAAAAAAAAAAAGGAGCAAAAUGUUGAUUGUAAUUUUCUUUAAAGACAUUAAUUUAUAUUUUUUUAAUUCCAAACUUUAGUAGGACAUAGUGCUAAUGAAAAUGAUUUAGUGGCAGAUUAUACCCAUGGUCAUAUGUGAUACAAAGUUUAUCUUAAAUAGAACUUUCUUUUGUAUAUCAUUUUAUUCGCACUAUGUCCAAAUAAAUCUUAAUAAAUCUUGGAAUUGAAAAAUAUAAUAUAAGCCUUUAAGAAAAACAUAUAAUUAACAUCUUGGCCACAAUUUUUUGUCAUUUGCUAAUUAAAUAACUACAUCUAUGAAAUUUGAUUUGUACCGUGUAAAACCAAAUAUUUGUUUCACUUAUUUCUCUUUCACCUUCCACAACCACCUUCAAAGUCUUUAAAUUGCACCGAAACAUAGUCAUCCCCCGCGGUGCAAGCCCUAUUUUUCAUAGUUAGUGUCUUGCUACAUGUACACAUCUUUCCAAUGUCGUAUCACUCUAACAACAAAUCCAUUUUCUACCUGCUAAACUUUCUCACCUUCUCUGCAUCUCAUCCAUGGGGAGAGGCAACAAAUUCACUUUUCUAGACAAACAUCACAACCAAUGGGUAGGGUAAUAAGACUAUACACACAGUGUGCAUGUAUGUCUAUGCAUAUCUGCUAAAUUUGAUGGGAUAUAAUUUUGUCAUCUACUAAUUAAAAAGCUACAUCCAUGAAAAAAUUCAGAGUGCUUAUUGGCUUAUUUUAUGGGUAUAAUAUAGUAUAGUACCUCUAGUUGUGAUGAUUUGCAUACAGAAGUGAUAUUAUUGCCUAGUUUGAAAUGUCUUGUCACUAGAUGUCGAUAGAUGAGAUGCUCAGAAGGUUUUGGAAGGAGAAGUGAACUUACAGUUUUAGGGUUGGGACUGAAUCAGGAAGAUGUUUAUAUGUAAUAUAAGACUAUGAAAGAGAGAGCAUGCCAUGCAAUAAGACGGGAUGACUAAGUUUCGUUUGCAAGUUAAAGACUUUGACUUUGAGGACAGGGUGUGGAACAUGGAGAUAUAAAACAAACAAAUAUUUAAUUCUUGAAGAUACAAAUCAAAUAUCCUAGAUGGAUCUAUAUAAUUAGCAGAUUAAAAAAAAAAGCAAAAUGUUAAUUAUAAUUUUCUUUAAAAACAUAAAUUUAUAUUUUCUUUAAUUCCAUAAUUUAGUAGGACAUAGUGCUAAUGAAAAUGAUUUAGUGGCAGAUUAUACCCAUGGUCAUAUGUGAUACAAAGUUUUCUUAAAUAGAACUUCCUUUUGUAUAUCAUUUUAUUCGCACUAUGUCUAAAUAAAUCUUAAUCUUGGAAUUGAAAAAUAUAAUAUAAGGUUUUAAGAAAAUAUAUAAUCAACAUCUUGGUUACAAUUUUUUGUCAUCUGCUAAUUAAAUAACUACAUCUAUAAAAUUCGACUUGUACCGUGUAAAACCAAAUAUUUGUUUCACGUAUUUCUCUUUCAUCUUCCACAGCCACCUUCAAAGUCUUUAAAUUGCACCGAAACUUAGUCAUCCCCCGCGGUGCAAGCCCUAUCUUUUAUAGUUAGUGUCGUGCUACAUGUACACAUCUUUCCAAUGUCAUAACACUAUAACAAUAAAUCCAUUUUCUACCUGCUAAACUUCUCAUCUUAUCUACAUCUCAUCCAUGGGAGGCUAGGCAACAAAUUCACUACUCUAGACAAACAUCACAGCCAAUGGGGUAGGGUACUUGCACACAGUGUGCAUGUAUGUCUAUGCACAUCCGCAAAAUUUGAUAGGAUAUAAUUUUGUCAUCUACUAAUUAAAUAGCUACAUCCAUGAAAUAAUUCAGAGUGCCUAUUGGCUUGUGUGGGUAUAAUAUAGUUUAGUACCUCUAGUUGUGAUGAUUUGCAUACCGAAGUGAUUUUAUUGCCUAGUUGGAAAUGUCUGUCACUUGAGAUGCUCGGAAGGUUUCGGAAGGAGAAGUGGAUUUACAGUUUUUGGGUUGAGGGUUAGGACUGAAUCGGGAAGAUGUGUAUAUGUAACGAGAGACUACGAAAGAGAGAGAAUGCAAUGCAAUAAGAGAGGAUGACUAAGUUCAGUUUGCAAGUUAAAGACAUUAACUUUGAGGACGGGGUGUGGAAGAUGGAGAUAUAAAACAAACAUAUAUUUAAUUACUGAAGAUACAAAUCAAAUAUCCUAGAUGGAUCUAUAUAAUUGAUAGAUUACAAAAGAAAAAGAAGCAAAAUGUUAAUUAUAAUUUUUUUAUAAACAAAAAUUUAUAUCUAUUAAUUCCAAAAUUUAGUAGGACAUAGUGCUAAUGAAAAUGAUGGCAGAUUAUAACCAUGGUCAUAUGUGAUAUAAAGUUUUUCAUGGAUAAAACUUCUUUUUGUAUAUCAUUAUCUUCGCUCUGUCCUAAUAAAUCUUACUAAUUCUUGGAAUUGAAAAUAUAUUAUAAGUCCUUUGAAUAGAAUAUAAUUAACCUUUUGGUUUUAAUUUCUUGUCAUCCGCUCAUUAAAUAGCUACAUCUAUGAAAUUUGAUUUGUAUCCUGUAAAACUAAAUAUUUGUUUGCUAAUUUCUCUUUCUUCUUCCACAUCCACCCUCAACAUCUUUAAAUUGCAACCAAACUUAGUCAUCCCCCGCGGUGCAUGCCUUGUCUUUCAUAUUUAGUGUCGUGCUACAUAUAAACGUACCAAAUAUCAUAACACCAAAACAAGAAAAUCCAAUUUUUACUUGCUAAACCUUUUUACCUUCUCUGCAUCUCAUCCACCGGGAGGCAUUUCUAGGCAACAAAAUUACUUCUCUAGACAACUCAUCACAACCAAUGGGUAUUAAACUAUACACUCAUAAAAUAAACACAUCAUACUCGAGAGUGCAUGUAUGUCGGCUAAAUUUGAUGGUAUAUGAAAUAGCACAUAUUAUAAGAGUAAUCCAUUGUUAUGUGUAUUUUCUAUUAUUUGUUGAGUUGGACACUAGUGCAAAAACAUUUCUACAUCAAACAUUAUUAUAUGAAAUAAUAAUCAUAAUUAUUAUUAUUAUUAAAUGUUGGUAUCGAUAUUUUAUGGAAAAUUGUACUAUGUUUAGUUUGGUUAAGGUAUUAACUUAUAUGUUUUUCAUGUAGAGCAAGAGGAUUAGACUGCAAUUUGAAAAGAAAUAGAACCAAGCACAAAAACUUACGGUUGACUGUGCCAAAACCCCUAUUCUGAAAUUAUUGAAGGGAAAAAAGUGAAGAUUGUAAAUAUGGGAAAUCGAACACGACACUCGAAGAUGUAAAUAAUCUUUGUGAUGAGAACGUGGCAUGAAAAGUAUAUACUAUACCUUGUACCAAGGCCAUGUCUCUCUGUAAGUGUUAUGUAGAAGUUGCCCUGAGAAAGGUUAGAGCUUAGCAGGCUCUAACUUUUGUCUCAUCAACAUGUACACAUGGAUCAAUAGCACAUAGC
rnacentral:lncRNA from 1 species